AGCUCAGUCCGUAGAGCAUGAGACUCUUACUCUCAAGGUUGUGGGUUCGUGCCCCAC
rnacentral:tRNA from 1 species